CGCAUGCGCAGACGCAUGGCCACAGACUGCCGGAUGCCGAAGGACCUGUUCAAAGUAUUUUCUGUAACUCCAACUGUAACUUGGUUCUAGGAGGAGAGAAUCCAUGUUUGGUCAACAGAACUUUUCGCCGCCACUUAAGUUUACUGCUUCAAUAUCUUUUCCUUACUAAUUGAUUGUUAAUUAAGUAGUGUCCAAGUGAGUUAGCCUUUUUAGGGUUGAUUAAUUAAAAGAGCAGCAAGAAUGGCAUUUUAACUCUUCUGGUUUUUGGGGUUUUUUUUUCAGUUACUAUGAUAACUCUUUUCAAGUCCACAAAUGAUUUGUUCUUAGCUGUAAAGAAGAGGUCAGAAAUGUAAGUGGGGAGAGAACAAAGAUAG
rnacentral:lncRNA from 1 species